rnacentral:rRNA from 1 species
UUUGAUCCUGGCUCAGAUUGAACGCUGGCGGCAUGCCUUACACAUGCAAGUCGAGCGGCAGCGCGGGGGCAACCCUGGCGGCGAGCGGCGAACGGGUGAGUAAUACAUCGGAACGUGUCCUGUAGCGGGGGAUAACCUGUCGAAAGAUAGGCUAAUACCGCAUACGACCUACGGGAGAAAGCGGGGGACCGCAAGGCCUCGCACUAUUGGAGCGGCCGAUGUCGGAUUAGCUAGUUGGCGGGGUAAAAGCCCACCAAGGCGACGAUCCGUAGCUGGUCUGAGAGGACGACCAGCCACACUGGAACUGAGACACGGUCCAGACUCCUACGGGAGGCGGCAGUGGGGAAUUUUGGACAAUGGGCGCAAGCCUGAUCCAGCCAUGCCGCGUGAGUGAAGAAGGCCUUCGGGUUGUAAAGCUCUUUCGGCGGGGACGAAACGGUCCGUGACAACACCACGGACUAAUGACAGUACUCGCAGAAGAAGCACCGGCUAACUACGUGCCAGCAGCCGCGGUAAUACGUAGGGUGCAGGCGUUAAUCGGAAUUACUGGGCGUAAAGCGUGCGCAGGCGGCUCCUUAAGUCAGAUGUGAAAUCCCCGGGCUUAACCUGGGAACUGCGUUUGAGACUGGGGAGCUGGAGUGUGGAAGAGGGGGGUGGAAUUCCAGGUGUAGCAGUGAAAUGCGUAGAGAUCUGGAGGAACACCGAUGGCGAAGGCAGCCCCCUGGGCUAACACUGACGCUCAUGCACGAAAGCGUGGGGAGCAAACAGGAUUAGAUACCCUGGUAGUCCACGCCCUAAACGAUGUCAACUAGUUGUUAGGGAAGCAAUUCCCUUGGUAACGAAGCUACGCGUGAGUUGACCGCCUGGGGAGUACGCCGCAAGUUAAACUCAAGAAUUGACGGGACCCGCACAGCGG